GUCUUUUUGAGGAUAAUUUAAAGUCGGGCCUGCCCAAUGAGAAUUUAAUGGCCGCAGUAUUUUGACUGUGCUAAGGUAGCAUAAUCAUUAGUUUUUUAAUUGAAAGCUGGUAUGAAUGGUUUGAUGAAAAAAAUACUGUCUCUUAAAAAUUUUAUUAGAAUUUUAUUUUUAAGUCAAAAAGCUUAAAUAAUAUUUAAAGACGAGAAGACCCUUUAGAGUUUUAUAUUUUUUGUUAUUUAGAGUAUUUAGUAUUAAAUAUUUUUUAUAAUUUUAAGUAUUUAAUUGGGGUGAUUUAAAAAUUUAAUAAACUUUUUAUUUAUUUAUACAUUAAUUUAUGAUAAUUUGAUCCAUUUUUUUUUGAUUAUAAGAUUAAAUUACCUAAGGGAUAACAGCGUUAUUUUUUUUGAGAGUUCUUAUCGAAAAAAAAGAUUGCGACCUCGAUGUUGGAUUAAAGUUAAAUUAUGGUGCAGGAGCUGUAUAUUUGGGUCUGUUCGACCUUUAAAACUUUACA
rnacentral:rRNA from 1 species